rnacentral:tRNA from 1 species
GGGGGAUUAGCUCAAAUGGUAGAGCGCGCGCUUCGCAUGCGCGAGGUAGCGGGAUCGACACCCGUAUCCUCCA